ACCGAGUGUUACGCCGUUGACUUUUUAACAAACGUUUGACGUUUCGUCUUAUUCAAAAAAUUUAUGUAAUCAUCAUUUAUUUUAUUGUGACUUGAUUUAUCAUCAAAUAUUCUUUAAGCAUGACAUAAGUAUUUUUGUAUUUGUAUAAAAAAUUUAAAUAAGACGAAUGGUCAAAUGUUUGUUAAAAAGUCAACGGCGUCAUACAUU
rfam:Oryza glaberrima chromosome 11 Oglab11_0080_7, whole genome shotgun sequence.